rnacentral:rRNA from 1 species
AAGGGGACACCGAGUGUCAGCAUCAUAUGCUGGCUGUCCAGGUGUGUAAAAUACACCUGUUAGCAAGGGCCGGGCAAGACCGGUGCCAGCCGCCGCGGUAACACCGGCGGCCCGAGUGGUGAUCGUGAUUAUUGGGUCUAAAGGGUCCGUAGCCGGUUUGGUCAGUCCUCCGGGAAAUCUGAUAGCUCAACUAUUAGGCUAUCGGGGGAUACUACCAGACUUGGAACCGGGAGAGGUAAGAGGUACUACAGGGGUAGGAGUGAAAUCUUGUAAUCCCUGUGGGACCACCUGUGGCGAAGGCGUCUUACCAGAACGGGUUCGACGGUGAGGGACGAAAGCUGGGGGCACGAACCGGAUUAGAUACCCGGGUAGUCCCAGCCGUAAACGAUGCUCGCUAGGUGUCAGGCAUGGCGCGACCGUGUCUGGUGCCGCAGGGAAGCCGUGAAGCGAGCCACCUGGGAAGUACGGCCGCAAGGCUGAAACUUAAAGGAAUUGGCGGG